GGAGAGCGUACACAGGUGCUGCAUGGCUGUCGUCAGCUCGUGUCGUGAGAUGUUGGGUUAAGUCCCGCACGAGCGCAACCCCUGCAUUCAGUUGCCAUCGGGUGAAGCCGGGCACUCUGGAAGGACUGCCAUCGACAAGAUGGAGGAAGGUGGGGACGACGUCAAGUCAUCAUGGCCCUUAUGUCCAGGGCGACACACGUGCUACAAUGGCCGGCACAACGGGAAGCGAGUUCGCGAGGACGAGCGGAUCCCUUAAAGCCGGUCGCAGUUCGGAUUGAAGUCUGCAACUCGACUUCAUGAAGCUGGAAUCGCUAGUAAUCGCAGAUCAGCCAAGCUGCGGUGAAUACGUUCCCGGGCCUU
rnacentral:rRNA from 1 species